rnacentral:rRNA from 1 species
GACGAACUGUGCAAACGUUAUUCGGAAUCACUGGGCUUGAAGAGUGCGUAGGCGGUUUUGUAAGUAGGGUGUGAAAGCCCCCGGCUCAACCGGGGAAUUGCGCCUUAAACUGCAAGGCUGGAGUGAGGUAGGGGUGUGUGGAACUUCCAGUGGAGCGGUGAAAUGCGUAGAUAUCGAGAGGAACACCUGCGGCGAAGGCGGGUUGCUGGGCUGACACUGACGCUGAACUGCGAAAGCUAGGGGAGCGAACGGG